UGCGUAGGCGGGCUAAUAAGUCAGUGGUGAAAUCUCUCGGCUCAACCGGGAAACUGCCAUUGAUACUGUUAGUCUUGAGUUCGGUUGAGGUAGGCGGAAUGUGUAAUGUAGCGGUGAAAUGCUUAGAUAUUACACAGAACACCAAUUGCGUAGGCAGCUUACUAGACCGACACUGACGCUGAGGCACGAAAGCGUAGGUAGCGAACAGGAUUAGAUACCCUGGUAGUCC
rnacentral:rRNA from 1 species